AGCAGCCGCGGUAAUUCCAGCUCCAAUAGCGUAUAUUAAAGUUGUUGCAGUUAAAAAGCUCGUAGUUGAAUUUCGGGGUUAGUAGGCUGGUCGUGCCACAGGUAUGUACUGGUCUUACUGAUUCCUCCUUCCUGAUGAACCGUAAUGCCAUUAAUUUGGUGUUGCGGGGAAACUGGACUGUUACUUUGAAAAAAUUAGAGUGUUUAAAGCAGGCUAACGCUUGAAUACAUUAGCAUGGAAUAACGAAAUAGGACGAUCGAUCUUAUUUUGUUGGUUUCUAGGAUUGACGUAAUGAUUAAUAGGGAUAGUUGGGGGCAUUAGUAUUCAAUUGUCAGAGGUGAAAUUCUUGGAUUUUAUUGAAGACUAACUACUGCGAAAGCAUUUGCCAAGGAUGUUUUCAUUAAUCAAGAACGAAAGUUAGGGGAUCGAAGACGAUCAGAUACCGUCGUA
rnacentral:rRNA from 1 species